AUCGGAACGUGCCCAGUCGUGGGGGAUAACGCAGCGAAAGCUGCGCUAAUACCGCAUACGAUCUAUGGAUGAAAGCGGGGGACCGUAAGGCCUCGCGCGAUUGGAGCGGCCGAUGUCAGAUUAGGUAGUUGGUGGGGUAAAGGCUCACCAAGCCAACGAUCUGUAGCUGGUCUGAGAGGACGACCAGCCACACUGGGACUGAGACACGGCCCAGACUCCUACGGGAGGCAGCAGUGGGGAAUUUUGGACAAUGGGCGCAAGCCUGAUCCAGCAAUGCCGCGUGCAGGAAGAAGGCCUUCGGGUUGUAAACUGCUUUUGUACGGAACGAAACGGUCCUGGUUAAUACCCGGGGCUAAUGACGGUACCGUAAGAAUAAGCACCGGCUAACUACGUGC
rnacentral:rRNA from 1 species